UACAGAGGUGGCAAGCGUUGUUCGGAAUUACUGGGCGUAAAGGGCGCGUAGGCGGCCUUCUAAGUCGAACGUGAAAUCCCUGGGCUCAACCCAGGAACUGCGUCCGAUACUGGGAGGCUUGAAUCCGGGAGAGGGAUGUGGAAUUCCAGGUGUAGCGGUGAAAUGCGUAGAUAUCUGGAGGAACACCGGUGGCGAAGGCGGCAUCCUGGACCGGUAUUGACGCUGAUGCGCGAAAGCCAGGGGAGCAAACGGG
rnacentral:rRNA from 1 species